rnacentral:lncRNA from 1 species
CUCAUCCUCAUUCCUCAUUCCUCAUUCCUCACUCCUCAGCCUUCAUUUCCUUCGUGUAGCCCGAUCUGAACCAAAAUACCAAAUAGCAAUAAGAGGCGGCCGCCUCCUUCUCCUCCGCUGAGACGCUCAGACCCCCGCCGCUGAGACGCCCGCUGCUGCUCUCUCUCUCUCUCUCUCUCUCUCUCUCUCUCUCUCUCUCUCUCUCUCUCUCUCUCUCUCUCUCUCUCUCUCUCUUCCUACUUCACCUGCGGAGCUGUAGGCCGGAGAGCCGGCCGCCUCCUUCACCGGAUAGAUCACAUCGCACCAGAGGCCGCCUCCGUCUCUCUCUCUCUCUCUCUCUUCCUACUUCACCUGCGGAGCUGUAGGCCGGAGAGCUGGCCGCCUCUUUCACCGGAUAGAUCACAUCGCACCAGAGGCCGCCUCCGUCUCUCAUUUUCUCCCUCUCCUCCACCAUAGCUGUGAGGCCGAGACACCAAAAUAGGAGCUCGUUGUUCUUCAGGCUUGUACCACUGCUGAACACAAUGAUCUGGAAAACUAUGGAAGCCAAUUGAUGGAUGGCCGCAUUGCUGCUGGAUAGGAGGCUGGAAAAAUGACUUGCUAAAUUGCUGCAUCUGAAUUAGGACUUUAUAUUUCAUUGGAUAUUUGUAUUUGAAUCUGGACACUUUGAAUUUGAAUUGUACCUUCAAUUGUCUUGAUGAGUAUUUGAAUUUGGACACUUUGAAUUCGAAUUUGCAGCUUGAACUUUGUAUCUUGAUAUUGUGUUUUGAUUC